GCCCCCGUAGCUCAAUUGGAUAGAGCAAACCCUUCCUAAGGGAGAGAUUGCAGGUUCGAGUCCUGCCGGGGGUA
rnacentral:tRNA from 1 species